CAGCCGCCGCGGUAAAACGGAGGGCGCGAGCGUUACCCGGAUUUACUGGGCGUAAAGGGCGUGUAGGCGGCCUGGGGCGUCCCAUGUGAAAGGCCACGGCUCAACCGUGGAGGAGCGUGGGAUACGCUCAGGCUAGAGGGUGGGAGAGGGUGGUGGAAUUCCCGGAGUAGCGGUGAAAUGCGCAGAUACCGGGAGGAACGCCGAUGGCGAAGGCAGCCACCUGGUCCACUUCUGACGCUGAGGCGCGAAAGCGUGGGGAGCAAACCGGAUUAGAUACCCGUGUAGUCCCUGUCUCUUAUAC
rnacentral:rRNA from 1 species